GUGGGAGUGUCGAUUAGACCCAUCUAUGGCUGCAAGAGCACAGAAACUGCCCCUCACCUGGGAACCUUGAAGGACAUGUAAACCAGCUCCUGACCUCUGCCUUCCUAAUGGACCAUCCCUCUGCCAAGUUGGGAGAGCUCCUGCUAACGAAGAACCAAAAGUGUCUAAAAACCAUCAAGAUCCCUUUCUUCCCUGUUGAGCUAGAAGUACAGGUAAGUUUGGACUUCCUCAGAAACAUCUUGCCCUAAACAUCCUUCAAGUCCUUCUGUGGCAACAGGUCUCUGUUGGUGAUGAGUGUUUCCCUUAAAUUUGGGAAUAAACGAAAAAUGUUUACCCUUAUCA
ensembl:lncRNA